rnacentral:rRNA from 1 species
GAUGAACGCUGGCGGCGUGCCUAAUACAUGCAAGUCGAGCGAACAGAUGAGGAGCUUGCUCCUCUGACGUUAGCGGCGGACGGGUGAGUAACACGUGGAUAACCUACCUAUAAGACUGGGAUAACUUCGGGAAACCGGAGCUAAUACCGGAUAAUAUAUUGAACCGCAUGGUUCAAUAGUGAAAGACGGUUUUGCUGUCACUUAUAGAUGGAUCCGCGCCGCAUUAGCUAGUUGGUAAGGUAACGGCUUACCAAGGCAACGAUGCGUAGCCGACCUGAGAGGGUGAUCGGCCACACUGGAACUGACACACGGUCCAGACUCCUACGGGAGGCAGCAGUAGGGAAUCUUCCGCAAUGGGCGAAAGCCUGACGGAGCAACGCCGCGUGAGUGAUGAAGGUCUUCGGAUCGUAAAACUCUGUUAUUAGGGAAGAACAAAUGUGUAAGUAACUAUGCACGUCUUGACGGUACCUAAUCAGAAAGCCACGGCUAACUACGUG